rnacentral:misc_RNA from 1 species
UUAAGUUCAGCGGGUAUCCCUACCUGAUCCGAGGUCAAGCGUAAAAAGGGUAGACUUUGUGGAUGCCACCGCUCCAAGACGGAAGCGCAAAAUGUGCUGCGCUCCCACCUAGGACGGCUGGCUGCCAAUGCAUUUGAGGCGAGUUCGCGCGCGCAGCGGAACAAACGCCCAACACCCAGCAGGGCUGGAGGGUACAAAUG